rnacentral:rRNA from 1 species
AUCCUACGGGGGGCAGCAGUGAGGAAUAUUGGUCAAUGGUCGGGAGACUGAACCAGCCAAGCCGCGUGAGGGAGGAAGGUACAGAGUCUCGUAAACCUCGUUUGCCCGGGAACACAGGCGGGGACGUGUCCCCGGAUGAGUGUACCUGAAGAAAAAGCAUCGGCUAACUCCGUGCCAGCAGCCGCGGUAAUACGGAGGAUGCGAGCGUUAUCCGGAUUUAUUGGGUUUAAAGG